GUAAAGGAGUUUAAGCAUGCAUGGGAUAGGCAUAAGGCUAUCCUAACCAUAAGAUAAGGCUAGGGACUAAUGAAAGUUUUUAGAAAAUUGGGCAGACUAGAUGGGCCGAAUGGUUCUUAUCUGCCGUCACAUUCUAUGUUUCUAUGUUUCUAUGUUUCUAUGUUUCUAUAUCAACUUUCGAUUCCAGUUUCUGCGCCUACCAUGGUGACUACGGGUAACGGUGAAUCAGGGUUCCAUUCCGUACAGGGACCCUGAGAAAUGGCUACCACAUGCAAGGAAGGCAGCAGGCGCGCAAAUGACCCACUCCCGACGCAGGAAGGUAGUGACGACAAAUAACAAUACAGGACUCUUUAGAGGCCCUGUAAAUGUAAUGAGUCCACUUGAAAUCCUUUAACUCUGAUCAAUUGGAGGGAAGUCUGGUGCAGAGCCACUGACCUGUGCGUGCUGCAGUUGAAACUCCACU